rnacentral:rRNA from 1 species
AUUGAACGCUGGCGGCAGGCCUAACACAUGCAAGUCGAGCGGUAGAGAGAAGCUUGCUUCUCUUGAGAGCGGCGGACGGGUGAGUAAUACCUAGGAAUCUGCCUGAUAGUGGGGGAUAACGUUCGGAAACGGACGCUAAUACCGCAUACGUCCUACGGGAGAAAGCAGGGGACCUUCGGGCCUUGCGCUAUCAGAUGAGCCUAGGUCGGAUUAGCUAGUUGGUGAGGUAAUGGCUCACCAAGGCUACGAUCCGUAACUGGUCUGAGAGGAUGAUCAGUCACACUGGAACUGAGACACGGUCCAGACUCCUACGGGAGGCAGCAGUGGGGAAUAUUGGACAAUGGGCGAAAGCCUGAUCCAGCCAUGCCGCGUGUGUGAAGAAGGUCUCCGGAUUGUAAAGCACUUUAAGUUGGGAGGAAGGGCAGUUACCUAAUACGUGAUUUA